AUUGAACGCUGGCGGUAGGCCUAACACAUGCAAGUCGAGCGAGCGGCGGACGGGUGAGUAAUGUAUGGGGACUGCCCGAUAGAGGGGGAUAACUACUGGAAACGGUAGCUAAUACCGCAUACUAUCGGAUAACCCAUAUGGGAUUAGCUAGUUGGUGAGGUAAUGGCUCACCAAGGCGACGAGCCCUAGCUGGUCUGAGAGGAUGAUCAGCCACACGGGGACUGAGACACGGCCCAGACUCCUACGGAGGCAGCAGUAGGGAAUCUUCGGCAAUGGACGAAAGUCUGACCGAGCAACGCCGCGUGAAGGAAGACGGUCUUCGGAUUGUAAACUUCUUUAGACAGGGACGCGGUACCUGUAGAAUAAGCCACGGCUAACUACGUGCCAGCCGCCGCGGUAAUUC
rnacentral:rRNA from 1 species